AUGCAUGCUACCAAACACACCCGUAUAACUCAUUCAGGUAGCACCAUCACACCCGGCACGCAAGAACUCGACCAGCCGAUCCAUGUUCUCGCUCGACGAGCCACCUGCCCCCGUCGCUGCCCUGGCGCUUUCCUUCCACGCCGUCGCGCUCGCUCUCAUCGCCUUGCCCCUCUCGCCGUCCAUGGCCUCGCGCACCAGCCGCGCCACCUCCUCCCUCGCCACGUCGCCACCGAUCUCCAUCCCGAUGCCCCACUUGGCGCACGCGUACCGGCAGUUGGUUGGCUGCUCGGCGAAGAAGGGCCAGCAGACCAUCGGCACGCCGGCGCACACGCUCUCCAGCGUCGAGUUCCACCCGCAGUGCGUCAGGAACAGCCCCACCGACGGGUGCGAGAGGACGCGCUCCUGCGGGCACCAGCUCGCCAGGACUCCCCUGUCCUUGGUCUCCCGGACGAACCCCUCCGGAAGCACGGCCUUCUCGCCGGCCACGAGGUCUGGCCGGACGACCCACAGGAACGGCCGGCCGCAGCUCGCCAGCCCCCACGCGAACUCCGCGAGCUGCGCCGCGGUCACCACCGUGAUGCUGCCGAAGUUGACGUACACCACCGACCCGGGCUGCCGCUGGGCGUCCAGCCAGCGGAGGCAGCUCGUGUCUUCCUUCCAGAGGUUCCCGCCGAUCGCGUCGAGCUCGGUCUCGGCGCCUCCCGCGGCGGCUUUGGCCAGCGGGCCGACGGUGUACAGGCGCGGGAACGUGCGGCGGAGCGCGUCGACGACGUCCUGCUCCAGCGCGUCGUACGUGUUGAGGAUGAGCCCGCGGGCGCCGCGCGCGUUCUGCGCCUCGCCGCCGUCGAAGUUGAGCAUCACGUCGUCCGGGUCGGUCGUUCUGAUGAAGCUGGGUAUGUCUUUCAGACGGAUGCCUUCCAUUCCGGGGAUCCAGUCGAUUGGAGUGUCCAGGUACCCAUUAGUCAGGUCACUCUCAUCUGCGAAAUUUACAGAACAAGAAGAAUCAUCUGCUGUCAGAUUGAGCUGUCAAUCUGUACUAGCCAUAUAGUACUCGGCACACACCUUUGA
rnacentral:rRNA from 1 species